GACGAACGCUGGCGGCGUGCCUAAUACAUGCAAGUCGAGCGGAACCAUUGGAGCUUGCUCCUUUGGUUUAGCGGCGGACGGGUGAGUAACACGUGGGCAACCUGCCCUGCAGAUCGGGAUAACUCCGGGAAACCGGUGCUAAUACCGAAUAGUUUGCGGCCUCUCAUGAGGCUGCACGGAAAGACGGUUUCGGCUGUCACUGCAGGAUGGGCCCGCGGCGCAUUAGCUAGUUGGUGAGGUAACGGCUCACCAAGGCCACGAUGCGUAGCCGACCUGAGAGGGUGAUCGGCCACACUGGGACUGAGACACGGCCCAGACUCCUACGGGAGGCAGCAGUAGGGAAUCUUCCGCAAUGGACGAAAGUCUGACGGAGCAACGCCGCGUGAGUGAAGAAGGUUUGCGGAUCGUAAAACUCUGUUGUGAGGGAAGAACAAGUACCAAGUAACUACUGGUACCUUGACGGUACCUCACCAGAAAGCCACGGCUAACUACGUG
rnacentral:rRNA from 1 species